rnacentral:tRNA from 1 species
GGCCGAGUAGUGCAAUGGUCAGCAUCUCACAUCCAUAAUGUUCUGGAUUGCGAGCGCGCGUGCGUGUCAUCGGAUCUUGUAUCGUUUACUGUAUUCUUAUUGCUUCGGCGUUUGGGUGUAGGAUUAUGUGAGGAUGGAGGUUCGAUUCCUUCCUUGGCCA